GUAUUAGUUAUGUUCUUGAAACCCAAAGAAUUUGGCGGUAUUUUAGUCUUUCCAGAGGAACCUGUUCUGUAAUCGAUAGUCCACGGUUUUAUAAACUUAUAAUUGUUUUCAGUUUUUAUACCUCCGUCAUAAGAAUAUUUUUUUAGAAUAAAUUUUCUUAAUUAUCAAAAAUAAGUAUGUCAGGUCAAGGUGAAGCUAAUAUAUAAGUAGAAAUGGGUUACAAUAAUAAUAUUUAUACGGAUUUUAGAAAUUAAAGUCUAUUUAAAGGUGGAUUUGGUAGUAAAAUUAGUUAAUUAACUUUUUUGAUUUUAGCUCUAAAAUAUGCAC
rnacentral:rRNA from 1 species